rnacentral:rRNA from 1 species
ACGUAGGAGACGACCGUUAUCCGGAGUUACUGGGCGUAAAGGGCGUGUAGGCGGUUUGUUAAGUCUGGCGUGAAAGCUCUCGGCUAAACCGGGAGAGGUCGUUGGAUACUGGCGAACUAGAGGAUGGUAGAGGCGUGUGGAAUUCCGGGUGUAGUGGUGAAAUGCGUAGAGAUCCGGAGGAACACCAGUGGCGAAGGCGACACGCUGGGCCAUACCUGACGCUAAAGCGCGACAGCAUGGGGAGCAAACGGG